UACAGAGGUCUCAAGCGUUGUUCGGAAUCACUGGGCGUAAAGGGUGCGUAGGCGGCGGGGAAAGUCAGAUGUGAAAUCCGGAGGCUCAACCUCCGAAAUGCAUCCGAUACUCCCUCGCUAGAGAUUUGUAGAGGAGUCUGGAAUUCUCGGUGUAGCAGUGAAAUGCGUAGAUAUCGAGAGGAAAACCGGUGGCGAAGGCGGCUAUCUGGACAGUGACUGACGCUGAGACGCGAAAGCGUGGGGAGCAAACAGG
rnacentral:rRNA from 1 species